CGGCUCGCUCCGGCGCGCGGGGUCUGGAGCUAGUUGGAGCGCGGGGGUUGAUGCUGGAGCCCAGCUCCGCGGAGCCCGGCGGGUCGGCCGCGCAUCCAGCGGCUGUUGGAGCAGCCGGAGCGCAGCGGGCCCGACAGGAGUCGGAGACUGUGACGGAGUGCUGAGCCCAUACCCGGGAUCCUUGCUGUUCGUCCAUCCCAUUCCCAGACCGGCCGCCAGCCCUCGGAUUCGUCCCUGUGGUCACACAGCCCCGAGCCCAGGGCCGCGGGGAGCCCAGCACCUGCGCGUGCUGCCGGGAGGUGACCUGACAUCUAAUGUCAACUUAUCCAAAGGAUUUGGGAGUCCAGACUUUGAACGGAGAAGACUAGGAUUCGACUUCCUUAGCUGAUACCACAGCCCCCUCCAGUGACUUCAGACAUUUUAAAUGUCAAAUGUGGCUGAACUCCCUUCUACCCCGGGGAAUUGACAAAGGCAAACACAGGCAUUUGGAGAGGACAACUAUCCAGAAGGGAGUGUUGGUUGGUAAUUCAUCAGUUUAUGUUGUAAAAAUACAAAAAUAAAUAAUUAUAGUUGUCUUUU
rnacentral:lncRNA from 1 species